GCCACCACAGCACGAAUGGACGUGCGUCCCGUUUCUACCGGGAAGGGUGUUGGUUCGACUCCAGCUGGUGGCG
rnacentral:tRNA from 1 species